CCCUCGGGAGGGGGAUAACCCCGGGAAACUGGGGCUAAUCCCCCAUAGGCCUGAGGUACUGGAAGGUCCUCAGGCCGAAAGGGGCUCUGCCCGCCCGAGGAUGGGCCGGCGGCCGAUUAGGUAGUUGGUGGGGUAACGGCCCACCAAGCCGAAGAUCGGUACGGGCCAUGAGAGUGGGAGCCCGGAGAUGGACACUGAGACACGGGUCCAGGCCCUACGGGGCGCAGCAGGCGCGAAACCUCCGCAAUGCUCGAAAGAGCGACGGGGGNACCCCCAGUGCCGUGGCAUCGCCACGGCUUUUCCGGAGUGUAAAGAGCUCCGGGAAUAAGGGCUGGGCAAGGCCGGUGGCAGCCGCCGCGGUAAUACCGGCGGCCCGAGUGGUGGCCGCUAUUAUUGGGCCUAAAGCGUCCGUAGCCGGGCCAGUAAGUCCCUGGCGAAAUCCCACGGCUCAACCGUGGGGCUUGCUGGGGAUACUGCUGGCCUUGGGACCGGGAGAGGCGGAGGGUACUCCUGGGGUAGGGGUGAAAUCCUAUAAUCCCAGGAGGACCGCCAGUGGCGAAGGCGCUCCGCUGGAGCGGGUCCGACGGUGAGGGACGAAGGCCAGGGGAGCGAACCGGAUUANAUACCCGGGUAGUCCUGGCUGUAAAGGAUGCGGNCUAGGUGUCGGNUGAGCUUCNAGCUCGCCCGGUGCCGAAGGAAGCCGUU
rnacentral:rRNA from 1 species